rnacentral:tRNA from 1 species
GGUUUCGUGGUGAAAUGGAUAUCAUUCAAGGUUUCGACCCUUGUGUUUCAGGUUCGAGUCCUGACGAAAUCGCCA